rnacentral:lncRNA from 1 species
UGCCGACUCUUCAAUUCUCUUAAACCCAAUUCCCAAAAGGGAAUGAGUUGUCCUUUCAAAUGUCAAAAAUUCAAUUUCGCGAGAAAAAGGGGAUGCGACACCGCCUUGGAUUCCUCCGCCGUCCUCCGCCGGUCGAAAAUCACCUCACGAGGCGGACCACUCCCAAACCUAACCAAAUCGCUAUCCCACACUCCUCACCUCACCCUCGUCAUCAAUCUACUAUCAAUUUUCCCCAAAAUCCCACAGAAUCCCUCUAAAUUUGGAUCUAAAAAACUGAAACCGUAACUUUUCUUAUUUGUUCUUUUCUUCUCCUUUGAUUGGCCAUUUCAGUCACUUUAUUGAUCUAACCAUCUCGAAUUUUUCAUUUCAAGAAGAUCCACCAGAAAUCUCAAGUCGGAUCUCUUGAAACAAAAUACAUGUUAAUGGUUAGGCGCUGAGGGUUUUAGGCAUCACAGCUCUUCUCAUUUUUGUGGGCUUAGAGUUGAUAAGGUUUUGUUACUAUUUUUGUUUCUCUUCCCAUAUUUUUCUCUUUUAUUUCUUUUCCCCUUGUCUCUCUUACUUGAGUCAUUUUAGUAGCUUAAUAACUUUGUUAUUUUUGUUUUAUUUUGGUUGGUUAGUUAUUCAACCGUUUGAUCUCAGCAUGUUAAUCGAAAAAAGGAUCUAAUAGUAACUAAUUCUGUGUUUGUUAGUUUAAAAUGAGAAAUUAUCAGUUUUUAAUUUUCUCUUAUGUUUAAUUUUUUUAGUUAGUUGAUAGAUUAAUUGCACAAGCUUGGUUUUGUUCAAAUCACUAUGUCGAUCCUUGGUUCAUUUAUUAGUUGAAGUGAUUAGUUAUUUCUGAGUUUAGUGAUUUAAAUUCAUAUUAUCAACUGAUUUAAGUCUGAAAAUCAAAGCAAGAAAAAUAGGAUUUAUGAAAGGAUUUAGAAGGUUUAAAUUGGGAUUUGGGUAAUAACAAAAAUGUUAGGGGAUUAAUUGAAAACCAAAAUCAGGAAGUCUAAGUUUGGAAUUGCCUAGAAGGUUCAGAAAAUUUUAAAAGGGACUAAAGUGUAGUGACACAACUGAAACUAGAUCAGAUUGGGGUGAUAUGAAUAAUAACGAAGAACUUAAAGGGGUUAAUUUGGAAGUAAAAAUGGAUAAACUUUAGGUAAAAAUAUCAGAAAUAUUGGACAAUUAUUCCUUUUUUGUGUUAAAAGAUGUUGAAAAUUUGUAAAAAAGAACCAACUCACAAAAAGAAAAGAAUUUACUCUUGAAUUUUCUGCUCUUAUACUCACUUCUUCCCAAAAAGAUAGCCAGGGAUUCCAUUUUAAUACUAAAAUAAAGAUUUAGGGUUCAUCUUGAUUUCCUAUUUAUUUUCCUAUCACUGGGAUUUUUUGGAUUUCUGGGUUUGAGGUUUUAAGGCUAUGGUCUAUUAAUCUCUGAUGUUGUAUUCUUGCUGCUGUUUCUUCCAGUUUAUUCAUAGACUCGUCUUCUUCUUCUCUUUCUUUAUUGCUAGUAAGGUAUGUGCUGAUACAAAAACAAUCCAGUAUAAUUCGAUUUAGUGGAGUCUGGGAGGGUAGUGUGUAUGCAGACCUUACCCCUACCAUGGGAUAGAGAGGCUGUUUUCAAAUAGACCCCCAUCAUCCUUCCCUUCAAGAACUUAUCACCUUGCUCUUGAGGAGGCUCGAACUCACAACCUAUCGAUUGGAAGUGUGGUUUGCUUACUAUCAGAGCAACCCACGGUAUGUGCUGAUAGCUUUUGAAAUAAUGUAGUUGGUAUUUGAAUGUCACAUUGCUUUGAGAUUUCAGCUGUUUGUUCACUCCAUGUAUGUUGGAUGCUCUUUUCUUUCAUGUUUUAUUGCGAGUUUAAGUUUGAUUUUAAGCAUAAGAUGUGUUGAAUGUCUCAAACCUUAAUGAAAUAAGAAACAUGCGUUAAAAUUAGUUCUUUUUUUUAGCUUUUGAUUGUCAAGGUUAAGAAAUUCCCUAAAUAUUUGAGGUUUCAGAAGCUUGAUAGCAUUUUUAAUGUGAAGUCCUCCCCUUUUAAAAUCAUUUUGUUUGGUAUUGUUGGCAUUGGUAAUGCAGGAGUUUGUGAGUGCUUGGCACGAGGCUCAGAUUUACGAAUCUAGCCACUGGUUGGUUAGCUUUUUGUAAAUGAUAGGCAGCUUCAAGAACAUUGCAAAGUUAUUGCUAGUUGAUCACAGGCAAAUUCAAAAUCAAUUUGAUAAAAACAUUUCUUAAUUUUGUUUAAGGCUGGUAAUUAUUUGUAAAAAUGUAACUAUGCCAUUUAUUACUGGAAAUGUAUAUACAAUAUAUUCAUAGUUUAAUUCAUAGCUGUUUCAGUUCUUUUCUUUAUAACAUCCCAAAUGUUUUCGUUCAGAGUUUGGAAAUUGGGACCAUUUCGUUUAAAUAUGUUCGGGCUAGUACAUAUUAAUUAAAGAUG